GUCCGGUGAAAAGAGUCAAUCGUAGCCCGUUAGCUGCUAGCAUGUUAGCAAAAGAGUACUAGCAGCGAUCGGUUUCACCGGACGUGAAAAGCCAGCUGGAGCUGUCGGGACCUCUGCUGGCAGCACACUUGGACACACCCCUGCUCACGCUGGACACAGCACGCCCAUGCAGCGACAAGGCUGCAAGCAAUUUCGCAUCAGCACACCUGGGCCUGAUGAGAGGGAGCAACAUAAAAGCCAGCGGACCCAAAGGACCUUCGCCAGAACGUAGCCAAUCUUCCUGAUGUCUCCCCUGUUGCCUGUGAUCGUGUCCUGCCUCACGACCUCCACCUGGAUCUCUGCUUGCCUCCCUCGACCCUUGACCUCUGCUUGGACUCGGACAUCAUUGCCUCUCUCCAGCCCCCGACUGCUUGCCUCCCUGCUGACUGCCUCUUCGCCUUGCCCCUUGGAUUCGACGAACGAUUCAUACAACACGCACCGACAACACCCCCUGGUAAAACUUACAUUGUUAACCCUACACAUCGUCUGCACUCAUUCACUUGUGGUAGCAUACACACCCCACACACUCAUCAAGGUUUUCAAUAAACCUGAUAAACCGCAGUUCUGCCUUGGUGUCGCCUCCUUCCCUUUGCCCGGUACACAACAGUACGUUCUGGCCAAAAACAUGGCGGAACCGGGCGACGCCGGCGAGGCCCAGGCCCGAUUCCCCAGGACAUCCAACCUGUCUAUUCUUAGUGUCGUUGUCAAUGAGCACCAAGAGCGUUUUUUCGCUCUUGAGGACAAUUUGGAGAGAUCUUUCUCCGGACUACACUCUAGGCUGGACUGCCUAAUGCCUAGAGUGACUCCCGCUGCAGCUGCCCCGCAGCUUAUU